UGAGUAACGCGUAUCCAACCUGCCGUCUACUCUUGGACAGCCUUCUGAAAGGAAGAUUAAUACAAGAUGGCAUCAUGAGUCCGCAUGUUCACAUGAUUAAAGGUAUUCCGGUAGACGAUGGGGAUGCGUUCCAUUAGAUAGUAGGCGGGGUAACGGCCCACCUAGUCUUCGAUGGAUAGGGGUUCUGAGAGGAAGGUCCCCCACAUUGGACUGAGACACGGCCCAA
rnacentral:rRNA from 1 species